CCAGGUCAUCCCAAGAUGGCGGGUGAAUGGGGUCCAGCUCCUGGGGCAGCCCCCUCCCCUUCAGCCGGAACCACCCCAGGAGGCCCGAGGACCACCCCCCCGCCCGUCCCUGAGCCCACCUGCCGCAGCCCCCUCGUAACUCCUUGUGUGUCUCUUGGUUUUCAGAGAUGCCCCUGUACUUUGUGGACUUGCAGGAUGACUUAGACGAUUGUGCACCCUGAUUGCAUUACCUGCUCGGAGCACAUGCCGGAGUGAGCACACGUAACUGUGUGGACCCUUUCUCAUCUCCACUGUCAAGUUAUGGCCCGAGGGCUCCUUGAUAUCUUCUUGGACUUCAGUAACAAUGAAGAAGACUUCCUAACAGUAAUGGGCAUCAUGGUCAGAUUGUCAGAAGACGCAGAGCCCACAGUCCGGACUGAGCUGAUGGAGCAGAUUCCUGCUCUUGCCAUUUUUCUAUAAGAAAACAGAUCAGAUUUUCCAGUGGUGCUUUCUGAAUGCCUCAAACCCAUCAUGGUGUGGUACCUCACAGAUCCAGACAAUCAUUGUUGUGAAAAAUUACAACCUGAAGCUCCUGAAGUGUUUUGAGCUCUGCACGGACAGCGUGUAGCGGAUGCGGAAAGCCUGUGCUGAGUGCUUCCUGGCUGUGGCCCACGACAUGUCCCCUGAGGUCUGCAGGGCCAGACUCUGGCCCCUUUUCAUCACACUGAUCAGUGACCCCUGCCGAUGGGUGCUCCAGGCUGCCUUCCAGUCCCUGGGCCCCUUCAUCUCCACCUUUGCCAACCCCUCCAGGGCUGGCCUUUAUAUUCAGGAAGAUGGUACUUUCAACAUCUGACCACUGGCUCUGGGUUUGGACUCGGACAUCAGCCUGGGCUACCGGAUGCAGGCGGCUGUGGGGACUCAGCCUCCGCCUGAUGACGGGUACACCCUAAGCAGAUCAUUCGAGAUGGUUCACUAGCAUCUCUCCAGUGUUAAUGUUACUCAGCAGUGUGAGAGGAGCUCAAGUUCAGGGAUUAUCAGCUACACGGAGAGCUGCCCAGCUUAACUCUGUGAACAAGGUCCAGCACCAGCCAAGAGAAGGGCCAAGUGAAGUGUCCGUGCCAGGUCCCAUCCCUGCCCCUGACAGCCAGGGCCCCCGGCUGACCCCACCACGGUGGGGCGAGCUCUCCGCAGCCAGGAUAUUAGCAAGCAUGGACAUAAAACCACAGCCCCUGCUAGAUCAGUAUGUGUCCAUGACCGACCUAGCUCAGCGCAGACCGUCAAUACCAACAUAGCCAAACACUGCGCCUGCAGCCUCCCUGGGGGUGGCGCUCACCCUGGGCCGGCAGAAUUGGCACUGCCUGAAAGAUACAUACAAGACACUGGCCUCCGACGUGCAGGUAAAAGGAGCCUUUGCAGAGGCUGGGACAGAACAGCUAAUUAGGAGACGGGGAAGCUGCGGCCAGGCCCACUGACCUGUGGCCGAAGUUGACAUGUUUACUGGCCUCUGAUGAAAAGGCCAGCACCUGGCAGUAUCAGUUUUGCUUCAGAAAUGCCACCUACGCUCUUGAUAAUGCUGAGUUCUGCUUGCCUUCUGCGGUCCACCCAGUGGAAAGUUCAGCGCACCCUGGCCUUCUUCCACGAGCUUGCUGUGAUCCUCAAGGAUCAGUUAACAGCAGCCCACCUGCUACCCGUCUUCAAUGGAUUUCUAAAGGACCUGGAUGAAGUAUGAAUAGGAGUCCUCAAACACCUGUAUGACUUUCUAAAGGUAGGGAGAAGGGUUAAAACAAAAAAGCAAACCUCCCCUCUUCAAUACAAUUUUUUUAAACCCUGGGUAUGUAUAGAUUCAGUUAAAAACAACAACAAAAAAAAAGCAGCUGUCUGGGUUUCUUCAGUUGAAACGUAUCAUCCACAGUGUUAAAGUGGGCAUUCUUUCAGUGAUGGGUAAAUAUUUUUCUGUCUUUCCUACUAAUCUCCCUGUCCCUUAGAGUUCUAAUGCCAUGGAGAAUUACACUCCGGGAAAGGAGAAGCUGGGCUGCCGGGCGGCGUGUGCCUUGCUCGGGGUCAUCUAAGGGAAGAGCCCGGCUGAAAUCCAAUCUCAGUUCUGCAUGAAGAGCUUGCAAGAUGGUGCUGAUUGCCUCCCUGCCUUUUUAUUUCUCCCCUCCUAAAGGAGCGAUGAGUGUAAAACUGAGAGUUUAAAAAUGACCUCAAGAAACUAAUUAGUCGCAUCCAGACGACCUGGAGCUGCCCUUGACAGAGCUGGGCGCCUGCUGCUUGGCUGGUGUGGGCACAGAGCUCGCGAGCAGCGCCUCCUCCCCGGGAAGCAGCGUGGCAUUAUCUCCCGAGCACACACAGGCCUGGGUUUUUUGUUGUUGUUGUUGUUGUUGUUUUUUUUCAGGCAGGAAAUUGUGAAAGAUGGAAGAGUGGAGAGCGUGUAGAAAUGCACAAGCACAUCCACGAAACAGGGGGGAAAGGUUGGAAGCAGUCAGGGAGGCACUGUCCGUGUUCACAGCAGAGCUAAUUCACAGCCACUCUGGGUAAUGGAGACACAGGUGUCAGGGAAACAUACGGCUAUGGCCAGGGACAGAUGAAUAACCUGAAGUUUAUCAGAAAACAGAGUAUUGGGGGGCAUUCUGGAGGAUUAUAUAUUCUUAUUUAUAUGUAAAUUUUAAAAAACUAGCUGCUUCAUGAAGACAAGAGGAGAGAAUAUCUUUAUCAGCUUCAAGAAUUGUAGUGACCGAUAACAGCAGGAAUUGGAGGUUUUGAUAUGAACUAGCAGAGUAAGUAAAACCUGUUCGGGGAUAUGAGAAGGCAAAUUAGAUGGAAUAAUUCUUAAUUUCCCUACCUUAUAAUUGAUUUCUAAAGUAGCAGUAAGAGUCUUCUUCUGGAUAAAGAGAUUAUGUUUUUAUUAAGGGAUAAACUGAAUUCCAAAGCUCUAAGUUACAAAUACCACAGUCUCCGGGGAGACAUUCAUUUUCAGAGGCAGACAGGGCGAGAGUCACUUUGGAAUUAGAGUGUUCUGCUGUUCUAUAAGGCAAUUUAUUCGAACCAAAUAAAAGAUGAAUCACCCGCUCUUCAAUAUUCUCCUAUUAAUCGGAGCAGUUUUUGCCAAAGCUUUCUUGAACAUUCUGAGGGUAACCCUCUGUUUAAGGACACAGCGUGGUUUAUACACUUCAGCUCCUAAAGAAAAUUAUGCUACAGUGAGAGAGAUGAGAAAGUCUAACCCAGAUGAGGUGAUUAUUGAAUAAAAACGUCCCCCAAGGUGGCUCAGAGCUGCACAUCAUUUUGUGUGUGAAGGAGUUAUUUAACUCCAUUGUGUGCCGGCAAGAAGAAUGGUCAAGGUUUUAGUGAUUGCAGAAGAGUGAGAUCGUCCCCUUAAAUAAUUCCCCUUCCUGGGGUGUAGAAUGUGCUUUCCGCAGUAUUGAGUAGAUUUGUUUGUGGCGGUGGUGUUUGGGUGUUAGUUUUCACCUCCUCAAGAUUUAUUUCUGUAAUCUCUUGUUUUCAUUUUUCUUGCCCUCAACUAGAAAUCUCUCAAAUAAUUGUCUUCCCUGUAGAAAUCCAUCAGGAUUUUGCAGCUCUUCGGGAUAAGAUUUGGCCGAUGCCAGGGGCAAACGAAAAGAUUUUCUCUUUGCUGUGAUCCUUAAUCAUUAUGCUUAAUUUGAGAGAUUGAGGUUUCAGUCAUUAUGCCUUGUCCCCGGCGCAUAUUCUGAGAAAAACAGGCCCACGUUUUUUUCCGUGAAGGCAUCGCGCCCUCUAGCGGCCGAUGCGGGAACUCGGCGCGGUCCGCCUCGGGCUGGGCUGAACCGUCUUUCCCGAGUUGGGGGGCGCCGAUGGCGAUGCAAGGACCGAGACCCCGGGUGGGGUUGGGGCCGGAGGCCGGCAGGAACCGGGAACGGGGGGGCUGGAGACCAACGAUGGAGUCGGGACGGGGGACCGGCUGAUCCACCUCCCGGGGCCGGGGACUGAGGGCGGGCACGGUGUGGACCCGGUGCUGGUGCCGAUGCCGGCUGCGAGGACCCUUUUCCCGGGCCGGGCCGGGCCGGGCCGAGCCGACUAGCCUCGCCCGACGGCGUUAUCGCCAACAUCUGUGCGGUGGUUAUUGAAGCCGAAGCCCACCGAUAUAAAUUCUGUGUUCCGUGCCCACGAUACUGGUAUCAUUUUUCUGAAAACAGUGCUUUUUUUUUUUUUUUAUGAAAGUAUUCAUCGGCACCCCUGGCUUCUGGUUCUAACUUCCACGCAAUCACUCUUUCGUUUCCUUUCCUUUGCCAGGGUGGAAAUCAUGCCGUUUGUUUCUGUUCCCUUCUCCCCUUCCCCACUUGGAGAGAGCUCUCUGGCGGUGGCUUGCUCCCACCGGCGGGUGAUGGAUUUUCCCGGGAGCGCGGAGCCCGGCUCGGUUCUCCCCAAGCGGACCUCGUGCGAGCGCGCGAGCCGAGCCGAGAGCACAGGCAGUUAGUCUGCCGCGUCGGGGGCUGCGGCGACCGGGAAACCUCGUUUGUUUUCUCCUUGAUCUGCGGAUCUUUGGGAACUUCAGCGUCCUGGCUAUUUUUAUGUUAUCUGAUUUGUAAAAGUUUUAUGUGUGUUCGAACUGGUAACCUAAAGUUGAAAGAUUAAAGCCCUUAUUCAUAAAUUUCUCAACCUCUGUUUUACAAAGUCUAACUUAUUUUCUUUUGGUUUGAUUUGUGUGCGUGAGAGAGAUGAAGAAUUAAGAUUUCUUUGUUUUUCUUCGCUUUUCUUUGCGUAGCCAUUUUCCCUCAGCUUCCGUUGAUCUCACGGCCGGCUAUUUUCAUCUGUAAGAUGAAAUGAGAGUAAGGAAAGGUUGUGGCAAUUCUGCAGAAGUUCUGUUCAAACAGUGAAAGUGCACCGGGGUUCAGUUUAAUCAUGAACUCAUCCUACGGUUCCGGCACUGUUCUAAGUGGGUCGGAAGGCAAACAUUUGCUUUCAUUUGUCAGCAUAUUUUAGAAAUGCCGAUAACCCUCAUCUUGGAGUUGUUGAAGAGACUGUCCUGGCUUUGCAGUCCCACCAGAACCAAGAUCUUACCUUUUUCGCUGCCCUAGAACCAAAGCGGGGGAAUGUUACAGACCUCGGCAUGCUGCAAGAACAGAACUAACCCAUCUGCGAUCACUGCAAGCCGGUCACUUUGAGCUUGGCAUGUGCUGCUUACGUAACUUGAAGCGGAGCUGACGGUGUCAUACCUGCCUGGGGAGGAAGGGUUUCUGAGACUUUGGCAUUGUGUCCUCCAGGGACCCCUUUCCCAUCUGCGGUCACAGGGACUGCUCCUGGGACAGGCAUUGGCAGGCGCUGUGCUGCUGCCCCUCCAUGCCAGAUCGGCAAGUCUGUGCAAAGGUUGUAGAACCAGGUGGCUCCCUGAGUGUGGGAGCCUCCGUGACAUCAGACUGUCUGGUAGCAGUUUGUUUUGUCUAUUACUGAUGAUAUUAUUUGACCCCCAGUUACCCCCUCUCCAAAAAUAAAGUACUUUACUAGAAGCU